UUCCGGUUGAUCCUGCCGGACCUGACUGCUAUCGGAUUGAUACUAAGCCAUGCGAGUCAUUGUAGCAAUACAAGGCAGACGGCUCAGUAACGCGUAGUCAACCUAACCUAUGGAUGGGAAUAACCUCGGGAAACUGAGAAUAAUGCCCAAUAGAACACUAUACCUGGAAUGGUUUGUGUUCCAAAUGAUUUAUCGCCGUAGGAUGGGACUGCGGCCUAUCAGUUUGUUGGUGAGGUAAUGGCCCACCAAGACUAUUACAGGUACGGGCUCUGAGAGGAGUAGCCCGGAGAUGGGUACUGAGACACGGACCCAGGCCCUAUGGGGCGCAGCAGGCGAGAAAACUUUGCAAUGUGCGAAAGCACGACAAGGUUAAUCCGAGUGAUUUGUGCUAAACGAAUCUUUUGUUAGUCCUAGAAACACUAACGAAUAAGGGGUGGGCAAGUUCUGGUGUCAGCCGCCGCGGUAAAACCAGCACCUCAAGUGGUCAGGAUGAUUAUUGGGCCUAAAGCAUCCGUAGCCGGCUCUGUAAGUUUUCGGUUAAAUCCGUACGCUCAACGUACAGGCUGCCGGGAAUACUGCAGAGCUAGGGAGUGGGAGAGGUAGACGGUACUCGGUAGGAAGGGGUAAAAUCCUUUGAUCUAUUGAUGACCACCUGUGGCGAAGGCGGUCUACCAGAACACGUCCGACGGUGAGGGAUGAAAGCUGGGGGAGCAAACCGGAUUAGAUACCCGGGUAGUCCCAGCUGUAAACUAUGCAAACUCAGUGAUGCAUUGGCUUGUGGCCAAUGCAGUGCUGCAGGGAAGCCGUUAAGUUUGCCGCCUGGGAAGUACGUACGCAAGUAUGAAACUUAAAGGAAUUGGCGGGGGAGCACCACAAGGGGUGAAGCCUGCGGUUCAAUUGGAUUCAACGCCGGG
rnacentral:rRNA from 1 species